rnacentral:rRNA from 1 species
UACGAAAGGGGCUAGCGUUGUUCGGAAUUACUGGGCGUAAAGCGCACGUAGGCGGCCUUGUAAGUUGGAGGUGAAAGCCCGGAGCUCAACUCCGGAACUGCCUUCAAGACUGCAAAGCUCGAGGACGCGAGAGGUUAGCGGAAUUCCGAGUGUAGAGGUGAAAUUCGUAGAUAUUCGGAAGAACACCAGUGGCGAAGGCGGCUAACUGGCGCGUUUCUGACGAUGAGGUGCGAAAGCGUGGGGAGCAAACAGG